rnacentral:rRNA from 1 species
GAUGAACGCUGGCGGCGUGCCUAAUACAUGCAAGUCGAGCGCACGGCCGAGCAGCUUGCUUCUCUGGUGUUAGCGGCGGACGGUUGAGUAACACGUGGAUAACCUACCUAUAAGACUGGGAUAACCUCGGGAAACCGGAGCUAAUCCCGGCUAAUAUUUUGAACCGCAUGGUUCAAAAGUGAAAGACGGUCUUUCUGUCCCUUAUAGAUGGAUCCGCGCUGCAUUAGCUAGUUGGUAAGGUAACGGCUUACCAAGGCAACGAUGCAUAGCCGACCUGAGAGGGUGAUCGGCCACACUGGAACUGAGACACGGUCCAGACUCCUACGGGAGGCAGCAGUAGGGAAUCUUCCGCAAUGGGCGAAAGCCUGACGGAGCAACGCCGCGUGAGUGAUGAUGGUCUUCGUAGCGUAAAACUCUGUUAUUGGGGAAGAACAUAUGUGUAAGUAACUGUGCACAGAUUGACGGUACCUAAUCAGAAAGCAACGGCUAACUACGUG